UACGUAGGGACCGAGCGUUGUCCGGAAUCAUUGGGCGUAAAGAGCGCGUAGGCGGCCUUUUAAGUCCUGCGUGAAAUCCUGCGGCUCAACCGCAGACGGUCGUGGGAAACUGGAAGGCUAGAGUGCGGGAGAGGAGAGUGGAAUUCCCGGUGUAGCGGUGAAAUGCGCAGAUAUCGGGAAGAACACCCGUGGCGAAGGCGGCUCUCUGGAACGCAACUGACGCUGAGACGCGAAAGCGUGGGGAGCAAACAGG
rnacentral:rRNA from 1 species